rnacentral:tRNA from 1 species
GGUUCGUUAGCUUAGCCAGAUUUAAAGCACUCGGUUGUCAGCCGAGGGAUCACGGGUUUGAAUCCCGUACGAACCGCCA